UCUAGAACUGGAGAUUUGGGCUGAAUACUGAACAGUGUCUGGGCUGCAGGACAAAUUCCAACUUCUCCAUUGUUGCUAUAAUUUGAACUCGAAAACGGCAUUUUUGAAUCUUGGACUCUUCAUGAAAGUUUUAGGUCUGUCUUAGAUUUCCAUC
rfam:Populus trichocarpa scaffold_11_contig_576, whole genome shotgun sequence.